rnacentral:rRNA from 1 species
AUUGAACGCUGGCGGCAGGCCUAACACAUGCAAGUCGAGCGAGCGGCGGACGGGUGAGUAAUGUAUGGGGACUGCCCGAUAGAGGGGGAUACAUACUGGAAACGGUAGCUAAUACCGCAUACUAUCGGAUAACCCAUAUGGGAUUAGCUGGUAGGUGAGGUAAUGGCUCACCUAGGCGACGAUCCCUCGCUGGUGUGAGAGGAUGAUCAGCCAAACUGGGACUGAGACACGGCCCAGACUCCUAAGGAGGCAGCAGUGGGGAAUAUUGAACAAGGGGCGCAAGCCUGAUGCAGCCAUGCCGCGGGUAUGAAGAAGGCCCUAGGGUUGUAAAGGACUUUCAGUCGGGAGGCGUUACCGACAGAAGAAGCACCGGCUAACUCCGUGCCAGCAGCCGCGGUAAUUC